CACUAAGAAGCUAAAAUAGGGAAACAGCGUUAGCCUUUUAAGCUAAAAAUUGGUGGCCCCCACCCACCCUAAGUGA
rnacentral:tRNA from 1 species